UACGAAGGGGGCUAGCGUUGCUCGGAAUCACUGGGCGUAAAGCGCACGUAGGCGGAUUGCUAAGUCAGGGGUGAAAUCCUGGAGCUCAACUCCAGAACUGCCUUUGAUACUGGCGAUCUCGAGUCCGGGAGAGGUGAGUGGAACUGCGAGUGUAGAGGUGAAAUUCGUAGAUAUUCGCAAGAACACCAGUGGCGAAGGCGGCUCACUGGCCCGGUACUGACGCUGAGGUGCGAAAGCGUGGGAGCAAACAGG
rnacentral:rRNA from 1 species